rnacentral:rRNA from 1 species
CUCGUAGGCGGUUCGUCGCGUCCGGUGUGAAAGUCCAUCGCUUAACGGUGGAUCCGCGCCGGGUACGGGCGGGCUUGAGUGCGGUAGGGGAGACUGGAAUUCCCGGUGUGACGGUGGAAUGUGUAGAUAUCGGGAAGAACACCAAUGGCGAAGGCAGGUCUCUGGGCCGUUACUGACGCUGAGGAGCGAAAGCGUGGGGAGCGAACA